GACGAACGCUGGCGGCGUGCUUAACACAUGCAAGUCGAACGGUGAACCUCUUCGGAGGGGAUCAGUGGCGAACGGGUGAGUAACACGUGGGCAACCUGCCCCCGGCUCUGGGAUAACUCCAAGAAAUUGGGGCUAAUACCGGAUGUUCACCGCUUCCCGCAUGGGUGGUGGUGGAAAGGGUUUCCGGCUGGGGAUGGGCCCGCGGCCUAUCAGCUUGUUGGUGGGGUAGUGGCCUACCAAGGCGACGACGGGGAGCCGGCCUGAGAGGGUGACCGGCCACCCUGGGACUGAGACACGGCCCAGACUCCUACGGGAGGCAGCAGUGGGGAAUAUUGCGCAAUGGGCGGAAGCCUGACGCAGCGACGCCGCGUGGGGGAUGACGGCCUUCGGGUUGUAAACCUCUUUCAGCAGGGACGAAGCGCAAGUGACGGUACCUGCAGAAGAAGCACCGGCCAACUACGUG
rnacentral:rRNA from 1 species